CUCAGGCCAUGAUCUCAGAGCUCGUGAGUUUGAGCCCCGCGUCGGGCCCUGUGCUGACAGCUCAGAGCCUGGAGCCCGCUUCCGAUUCUGUGUCUCCCUCUCUCUCUGCCCCUCCCCCACUCUCUCUCUCUCUCUCUCUUAAAAAUAAACAUUAAAAAAAAAGGAAAAAAAGAAAAAGAAAAGGAAAAAGGUUCAGAGAGGUUAAGGAUGUGCUUAAGGUCACACAGCAAAUUCCAAACUUAUUUAUGGAAGCGCAGCCUGCUCUGGGUGGGGGAAGGGAGGCGACGAACUGGUUAAACGUUAGCACAAGAGGAGAAAACACAGAGGCAAACGAAAAGAGCCAUUCCACAGAGAGUGGAAUUAGGCUCUGCACAGGGACUUUUGCUCCAACUCGAGGGACUAAGGCUCUCUCUCUCUUCUGGGGCUAGUCAACAGAGGACAGAGGAGCCUGGAGUGACCAGAGGCCACCAGGGGAAGGGCACCCACGAGAGAGAAGGCAGCACGAAGGUGAGUGGUGCCACAGGUCGAGGAGAAAGCUUCUUGGGAAUGUGGGUUGAGGUCCUGGAUCCGUCUGGGCCUGGAACUGGAUCCACCCAUGAAGUGUUCAGUUACUGGAGUUACUAACACCCUCCCUCACUUGGCUCAGCUCCAGCUGGACUUCUGUCGUUUGCAAAUGAAAGGGCCCUGACUCAUCGAGACAGGAUGCUGUGGCGCUUCGACCUUCAACGGGCCCACUGUCAGCCACUUACGUGUGUCGUGCCCUGCCAUGCACUCCACGUACGUUUGGUCCUUACUGUGACCCCGAGCUGCGAGCUCCCCACUCAUCUCUGUCACUCCGGGGCCUGGAGCUUGGCGUGCGGUCGGCGCCUGGGAAGUGUUGAGUGAAGCAAGUAAGAGACAGCUCGAGCCGAGCAUGUCAGCAUCCCAACCCCCCCCCCCCCCGCCCCCGUGAUGAGCUCCCCACGGUUCUUGCAGUCCCAGCAAAGGAUACCUGUCCGGCCCCCGGGGAAGCACUGUCUAAAGGAGAGAUUGCAAACUGGCGGCCCACCGCAGUGUUUAAUUUUUUUUUUUUUUUUAUUGUGGUAAACACACACACACACACACACACACACACACACACAGACACGACACAAAAUUCACCAUCCAAUCAUUUCUCAGGGUACAGUCGAAUAGCGUGAAGUGUAUUCAUUCCCAUCGCUGGGCAACAGAUCUCCAGAACGUUUUCUUCUUGCAAAACUCCAGCUCUGUACCCAUUAAACGGCACCUCCCCGGGCCCCCCUCCCCCCAGCCCCUGGCAAACACCAUUCUACUUUCUGUUUUUAUGCAUUUGAAUACUUGACGUGCCUCGUAUCAUGGGAAUCAUAUGCUAUUUGUCUUUUUGUGACAGAAAGCUUAGCGUGUCCCCAAGGCUCAUCCGUGUGGUGGCACGAGACAUGAUUUCCUAACUUGUUAAGGCUGCAUAAUAUCCCGUUGAAUAUAUAUAUAUAUAUACACACCACGUUUUCUUCA
rnacentral:lncRNA from 1 species